rnacentral:rRNA from 1 species
UCAGGACGAANGCUGGCGGCGUGCUUAACACAUGCAAGUCGAACGGUGACGACAGGAGCUUGCUUCUGUUUGAUCAGUGGCGAACGGGUGAGUAACACGUGAGCAACCUGCCCCAGACUCUGGGAUAACCCCGGGAAACCGGAGCUAAUACCGGAUAUGACACGGAGAGGCAUCUCUACCGUGUGGAAAGUUUUUCGGUCUGGGAUGGGCUCGCGGCCUAUCAGCUUGUUGGUGAGGUAGUGGCUCACCAAGGCGACGACGGGUAGCCGGCCUGAGAGGGCGACCGGCCACACUGGGACUGAGACACGGCCCAGACUCCUACGGGAGGCAGCAGUGGGGAAUAUUGCACAAUGGGCGAAAGCCUGAUGCAGCGACGCCGCGUGAGGGAUGACGGCCUUCGGGUUGUAAACCUCUUUCAGCAGGGAAGAAGCGCAAGUGACGGUACCUGCAGAAGAAGCACCGGCUAACUACGUGCCAGCAGCCGCGGUAAUACGUAGGGUGCGAGCGUUGUCCGGAAUUAUUGGGCGUAAAGAGCUUGUAGGCGGUUUGUCGCGUCUGCUGUGAAAAUCCGGGGCUCAACCCCGGACUUGCAGUGGGUACGGGCAGGCUAGAGUGUGGUAGGGGAGACUGGAAUUCCUGGUGUAGCGGUGGAAUGCGCAGAUAUCAGGAGGAACACCGAUGGCGAAGGCAGGUCUCUGGGCCACUACUAC